GGUAAGUGGGUCUGUCAAAGAUAAACUAAGCUGGACCUUAGUUAAAGCUACGAAAACAGAUCUUAUUCAUUAACCACUGACGGGAGAAGCUGAGCUCCAUUCGGAUCUGUGCAGGGGGACUGGACAGUUUAAUGGGAGAACGUAGGAGUCGGGAAAGGGCACUCCGGGGCUCAGGAACCAUGGGAGUGAAGAAUUACAAAAGGCUGUUUGUGUUAUUGUGGCCGGGCCAGCUGUGUGUGCCAGCUGGCAGUGAUGGAAAUUAGCUUCUGUCCUCCCCCAGAGCCUGGGAGACAGGCCCCAUCCUUCCUGAUGAUGCCAUUUCAAAGGACUGGCUCUCAGGCUCUUGAGAAAGACACUCCUGGACAGACAUGCGUGUACAUCUCAAAGGGACAAGGGAAGGAGGUACGACUCUAAGCGUUUUUAACGUAAAUGCUCUAAGAAAGUUGGGUGGGGGGGUGGUCAGAGGCCUGUUGUCAGGUGUUGGUAGGAACAAACACUGAACGAUUUUGACGGCCUUGAGCUUUUCAGACAGGAACUCGAAGGGUGGCCAGGUGGUCCCAGGGAUGCCGCUUUGGGCUGCCAGAAGCCAUGCUAGGGUUGGUCCAGUCUCUUGGUGCAGGGGUUUGGACGCAGUCACUAUGUACCAAACUUCUGUUAGAGUUCUCAGUUUCAAACCCCACCCACCUCCCCCAAUGUGGGAGGCACAUCAGUAAAUAUCAGCCUCUGAUGCUCAUGAACCUACACGAUGCAAAAGAGCUCUAAAAAUGGACGGUGGCUGACAGCAGGGCAGCCCUGAACCAUACCAAGUGGCAGACCAGGAAGUGGCCUUGGAGGCCACGCUGAAAGGAAGAACAAAGCCACUGAGAAAAAAAAGUAAAGGUAACCAAGAAAAGUUAAGCUGCACACAAAGAGUAUGGCCAACAGAGGGCAGCACCUACGGGCAGGAUGAAGUCUCCAGGGAGACCUUGUCCAGUUGGUGCAUCGCUGGGGGUGGAUGGUGUGGAGGUCAGAGAUGGUGGCCCUAGAGCCAUAGGCUUGAGCAGGGAGCCACAAUAAUUCUCCAGACAAUACCACAGCCUGGAGGAAACGCCCUUCAGGAAUAUUUCAUAGUGGCAAUGGCUGACGAACAUUGAGCCAUUACAAGGUGCCAGGCACUGCUUCGGAAACCAAAGGACCAUGCUGAAGAGCCCUGCCGUUCUCCAGUCUGAUCCCAGGCUUCCUGAGUCGUCCUCUGGUUCCAUCUUCCUGAACUGUUUCCUACCUCAACAUCCCUGAGAGAUCUAGCACAUUCCAUUCUGUAACAGGGAUGCCACAGAUUCUUGGUGGAGGGAGGGAGGUGCUGCUCCUGCUGGCCAUAGGGUGCACGCUCCCUGCAGUAGCCCCUGAAGAGCAGCCCUCGGUUAAUUUUGGCUACUUUGAACAGAAAUAGGAUAGUUGAUAAUUCUGGAAAAGUGAGGAGCUGGAGGUGAAGUGAGAGGCGUGGCUAAUCUUAUCUGCGUGCUGGAAGUGACCUUCCGCUGAUAAAGCUUUGGGCUUCCGGGAAUGAAAUCAGCUGGCAGCCACCGCAGUUUUGCUUGAUUUGUAACACCGGAAGAUGAGGGCAGAUGAUCAGAGUCCUGUGUGCAUUUAGGCCACAGACUGGGUUAGCAAAUCUAAAUACGAAUCUCUCAUUGGGGAAAUAUUGGUCAAAAGGUAGAGAAUUUCAGUUAGACAAGAGGAAUAAGUCCAAGAGACCUAGUGUGCAGCCCACAGUGACAAAGUGCUCAACAGUGUGUUGUAUGCUUGGAAAUCGAUAAGAGUAGAUUUCACAAAAUGAAAAGUGAGGUAUGCAUUUGUUAUUAGCUCAAUUUAGCCAUUUCACAAUGUAUACACAUUUCCAAACAUGGUAUACACCUACAUGUACGCAAUUUUUGUCAACUUAAAAAUAAUUGAAAAAAAAAAAAAAAGAAUCACUCAAGCCAAACAAAACAACCCAUGGAAUUCUGGGAUGGAAGCCAUGCCUAUUACAACAGAACCUCCAGGGAUGAACGAGGCUGGGGCUUUAGCCAGCUCUCCAGGUGCCUCUGCCACAGGCAGACCCACACAGGGCCAGAGUUCGGGAAUCAUGCGCCAGGUGCGGCCUGCAGUGCUACUUGUCAAUGUGGAGUGUGGUCUACCUGUAAUAGAAUAACCUGGAAUGCUUGAAAGUACAGGUUCCUGGGUCCCACACUGCACCCUGCAGGUUUAGAUUCUCACACGGGAUUCUAGACUUCACAUUUUAAGCCAGCUCCCAAGGGUUACGGUGCUAACCGAAGCCCUGGAAGACAGGAUGUCCAAGCCCUGGCACUGUUGACAAUUUGGGCUAGAUAAUUCUUUGGGUUUUUUUGUGGGGGACGGGGAGCAAGAGAGGGCACUGUUCUGUGCAUCCUACGAUGCUUAGCAGCACCCCUUCCCUUUACCCACCAGAUGCUAGCAGAGCCCUUCUCCCUGCUCCUGGCCAUGACAACUAUAAAUGUCUUCAGCCAUUUUGAAAUGUUCCCUAGGGAAGCACCCCUACCAUUGAAACCACUGCUCUAGAACCUCAACCCCUCAAGGGAUUUCCAAACUUAGUUAUCACCCCAGACCCUCAGGAAAGGAGGCUGGGGGGCCCUGAGGGGAGCCGGAUGCCUUCAGCUGGCUUCCCCAGCGGGACUGGAGCUUCUGACCAGAAGACCACACCCCAGCAACAAGGAAGCCCCCAAGCUGCCAGGGACUACCAGGUAUCAGAGCAGGCACUGACCCCAGCACGAGCUGGUCCCUCUGCGAGCUGGUGCUUCCCAGGAGGCCGGGGGCAGGGAGCUCCGGCACUGCCCCGAGCCCAGUGGAACUUGGUGUUCUCCUUGCAGGCGGCUCCCUGAGCAGGGUGGGUGGACAUGGUUGGGACGGAUAUUCUCAGACCCCUACAGGACCCCCGCCUUGGCUCUCUAACCUCAGGAUUAAGGGUCAUGAUAGCAGCAAGGGUCUUCCUCCCACCUGAAAUGUCAGCAUUUCGUCCUCUGACAAAGACCUGGGACACACUGGGGUGGUGACUUCAUCUUCCCAUUCUGUGUCCCAUACAGCAGGAGCCCCAGGCUCUGAAUUCCUGCAGAUUCUGCAGCGUCAAUCAGCUGCAAUGCCAGGUGCAAAGGCCUUGCCCUUGGCCGGCAGCAAUCGAUUCAGCAAACAUAUUUCUCUUUUUUUUUCUCUACCCAGCCUCCCAGAAGCAGUUUAACUUCACUUAGCAGCUCAGCUCAGCUUGGAGGUUAAGAGUGCGGAGCCUACACCUGGAUCAAAUUCCAGCUCUACUGAUGAUUAGUGUUCAACAAUAAAGAGGCAGCCAAGCGGCAAUGUAUUUCAGAGCUGCAACUGCUUGCCUCUGCUGUAAGAGAAACCCCAGCCAUGCCUUCAGCACAUAAAAACUUCAGAACAACCAAAUGACAGCCUCCAGCUACUCCUUUAAGCCUUCCUCAUGGACCUUGCUUCAAGUGUCGCAAAACUGGCCACUGGGCCAAGAAAUGUCUGCAGCCCAGAAUUCCUCCGAAGCUGUGUCCCACCUGUGCGGGAUCCCACUGGAAAUCGUACUGUCCAACUCAUAUCACAACCACUUCUAGGGCUGUGGAUCAAAGCUCUCUGGAUCAAAGCUCUCUGGCUAACUCCUUCCCAGAUCUCGGCUUAGCGGCUGAAGACUGAUGCUGCCUGAUUGCCUCAGAAAGCCCCCUGGACCAUCACAGAUGCCGAGCUUCAGGUAACUUUGACAAUGGAGGGUAAGUCCGUCCCCUUUUUAAUAGAUACGGGGGUUACCCACUCCACAUUACCUUCUUUUCAAGGGCCUGUUUCUCUUGCCCCCAUAACUGUUAUGGGUAUUGACGGCCAACCUUCUAAACUCUUAAAACUCCCCCACUCUGGUGCCCACUUAGACAACAUUCUUUUAUGCACUCUUUUUUAGUUAGCCCCACCUGCCCAGUUCCCUUAUUAGGCCAAGACAUUUUAACUAAAUUAUCUGCUUCCCUGACUAUUCCUGGGCUACAGCCACACCUCAUUGCUGUCCUUUUGCCCAAUUCAAGGCGUCUUUCACAUCCUCCCUUUGUGUCUCCCCACCUUAAUCCACAAGUAUGGGACACCUCUACUCCUUCUCUGGCAACCAACCAUGCACCCCUUACCAUUCCAUUAAAACCUAAUCACCCUAACCCUGCUCAACACCAGUAUCUCAUCCCACAGCAAGAUUUAAAGGGAUGAAGCCUAUUAUUACUUGCCUGUUACAGUAUGGCCUUUUAAAGCCUACAGACUCUCCUUACAACUCCCCUAUCCUACCCGUUCAGAAGCUGGCUAAUUCAAGACCUUUGCCUUUAAAGCCUACAAAUUCUCCUUACAACUCCCGUAUCCUACCCAUCCAGAAACCGAACAAGUCCUACCAGCUAGUCCAAGACCUUUGCCUCAUAAAUCAAAUUGUCCUUCCCAUCCAUCCUGUUGUGCCAAACCUCUAUACUCUCCUCUCCUCAAUACCCACUUCCACAACUUAUUAUUCUGUUAUCGACCUCAAAGAUGCCUUCUUUACCAUCCCCUUGCAUCCCUCCUCCCAACUUCUUUUCGCCUUUACUUGAACUGACCCUGACACCCACCAGUCCCAGCAACUCACCUGGACUGUCCUAUCCCAAGGUUUCAGGGACAGCCCACACUACUUUGGUCAGGCCCUCUCUCAUGACUUCCUUUCUUUCCGCCUGUCUGCCUCCCACCUUAUUCAAUAUGUUGAUGACUUUCUUCUUUGCAGCCCCUCUUACCAAUCUUCCCAGCAGAACACUAUCCUACUUCUUCAACAUCUCUACUCAAAAGGGUACCGAGUAUCCCCUUCUAAGGCUCAAAUUUCUUCCCCUAGUGUUACAUAUCUCAGCAUAAUCCUCCAUCAACAUACACAUGCUCUUCCUGCAGACCGUAUUCAGUUAAUCUCCCAGACCCCUAUCCUGACCACCAAACAACAACUCCUUUCCUUCUUAGGCAUUGUUGGAUACUUCCAACUCUGGGUACCAGGCUUUGCCAUUCUAACCAAACCGCUUAACUGAUCCCAUAGACCCUAAAUCCUUUCCCCAUUCUUCUUUUCAUUCUCUCAAAAAGGCCCUAGAAACAGCUCCCACACUGGCACUCCCUGACUCAUCUCAACCUUUUUCCUUACACAGAGCUGAAAUACAAGGCUGUGCUGCUAGAGUUCUCACACAGGAGCCAGGCCCACGACCUAUAGCCUUUCUACCCAAACAACUUGACCUCACAGUUCUCGGCUGGCCCUCAUGUCCACAUGUGCUGGCAGCCACUGCUUUAAUACUUCUAGAGGCCCUCAAAAUCACAAGCUAUGCUCCACUUACCCUCUACAGUUCUCACAACCUUCAAGCAUUAAUAUCCUCCUCACACCUUUCACACUUACUGUCUGCCCCUCGACUCCUCCAGCUCCAUUCACUCUUUAUUGAAACCCCAACAGUAACUAUUGCCCAUGGGCCUGAUUUCAACCCAGCCUCUCACUUAGCACCCAGCACAAGUCCUGAGCCACACGACUGUAUCUCCCUAAUAUACAUAGCAUCUUCCCCCUUUCCUCAUAUUUCUAUUUUUCCAAUCCCAAACCCAGACCACACUUGGUUUAUUGAUGGCAGUUCCUCUAAACCCAGCCAAAUCUCGCCAGUUAAAGCUCGUUAUGCUGUCAUGUCCCAUACCUCUUAUCAAGGCUGCUGCACUUCCUCCCUCCACUAUUUCCCAACAAGCUGAACUGAUUGCUUUAACCUAUGCACUCUCUUUCGCCAAAGGAAUGAACAUUAACAUUCACACUGACUCCAAAUAUGCUUUCCACAUCCUCCAUAACCAUGCUGCCUGUUGGACCAAAAGAGGUUUUCUCACCACACAAGGCUCUUCCAUUAUCAAUACCUCUCUAAUAAAGGCCCUCCUUAAGGCUGCUCUCUUGCCAGCCAAGGCUGGGGUCAUUCACUGUAAAGGACACCAGAAACCAACUGAUCUUAUUGCUAAAGAAAAUGCUUAUGCCAACAAAACAGCCAAGGAAAUAACCAAUGCCUCCACACCUGCUAAUAUUCCAGCCCCUACUCCAGAAGGCCAGUAUUUUUCUUUCUCCUUUAUCACUCUCACCUACUCUUCUUCUAAAAACCUGCUCUACCAGUCUUUUCCAACUCAGGGCAAGUGGUUCUUAGAUCAUGGAAAAUUCAUUCUUCCAUAGCUUAAUCCAGGAGACAAAGAUUAUUUUACUUAUGAUCUCUCCUGCAUAGGCUCUGCAAUAAAAGCUAUUGAACUUCUCCAUUCAGACCGCUGCUCAUACCUAUGGGAAAAGGGUAAUAUAAUAGAUCAUUGGCUUAACAACAGGGAAUCCCACUCAUAUGACAGAAAAUGGGGACAAAAAGCUUUGGUACAUAAAACAUUAUUCCUUCCCUGGCCUAAAAACUCAUCACCACCUACAUUAAAGCUAAUAUGCCUGAUAACUGUUUUUAGAGAACUUAUUUUAUUAGGGCAAUUCCAAGCUCAAAAAUGUGCUAACUGGCACCUUGUUAGCUACAUAGAAAUGCACCCUAGACCUGAAACUUACUGGACUAACUCAUUAUAAAAUUUUCUUUAAGGUGUCCACGCAGUCCCUGGUCAUGCUUGAAGCAGUCCUGAGAAACAUCACCCCUACCCCAAUAAUCCCCAGGAAAAAAUGGUAUUUUCUUUAUCUUUUCUUAUAGCUUUAUAUUUUAUACAUAAAAAGACAGGAAUGUCAGGCCUCUGAGCCGAUGCUCAGCCAUUGUAACCCCUGUGACCUGCACAUAUAUGUCCAGAUGGCCUGCAGGAGCUAAGUCUGGAGUAGCUGAAAAACCACAAAAGAAGUGAAACAGCCAGCUCCUGCCUUAACAGAUUGACCAAACUUAAGACAUUCCACCAUUAUGACUUGUUCUGGCCCUGCCCCAAUUGAUCAAUUGACCUUGUGACAUUCUUCUGGAUGAUGAAUCUUAUGAUCCCCCGACCAGGCACCUUGUAACCCCCUCCUCUGCUAACAGUAGAAAACUACCUUUAACUGUAACUUUCCACUGCCUACCCAAGUCCUAUAAAGCUGCCUCUCUCCUACCUCCCUUCGCUGACUCUCUCUUCAGACUCAGCCCACUUGCACCCAAGUGAAUAAACAGCCUUGCUGCUCAUACAAAGCCUGUUUAGGUGGUCUUCUCUACGGACACAUGUGACAGUUUAGAAAGGUGGGACAACUUGAAAUGGGGUGGGCUGGGUGGGGUGGGUAAGGGUGUUCCAGGUGAUAGGUAGAUUUUAAAGUUUCUCGUUGGCAAUCGGUUGAAAGGGUCAAGUUAUUAUCCAAAGACCUGGAAUCAACAGAGAGAAAUGUCUGGGUUAUGAUAAGGGAUUGUGGAGACCAAGGUUUUAUCACGCAGAUGAAGCCUCCAGGUAGCAGGCUUCACAGAAUAGAUUGUAAAUGUUUCUUAUCAGACUUAAGGUCUAUGUUGAUGUUAAUUCCUAUUAGCUCUUCCUGAAAUCCAAAAGGGAGGCGGAUACAGUGAGGCAUAUCCAACCCUCCCUUCCCAUCAUGGCCUGAACCAGUGUUUCAGGUUAACUUUGGAAUGCCCUGGCCAAGAGGAGGUGUGCAUUCAGAUGGUUCGAGGGCCUUAGAAUUUUAUUUUUGGUUUACAUUACCUAGAAAGAGAGAGAGAGAGAGAGAGAGUGAGUGUGUGUGUGUGUUGUUAUGGAUACACACAUACUGGAUUAUUUGACAGACACUGGAAGGGCUCACUGAGCCUUCUUGGCAGCUCCCUGGGGACCUGCCUGGAGCCUGGAAAGCUAAAAA